rnacentral:rRNA from 1 species
GAUGAACGCUGGCGGCGUGCUUAACACAUGCAAGUCGAACGAUGAAGCCCAGCUUGCUGGGUGGAUUAGUGGCGAACGGGUGAGUAACCCGUGAGUAACCUGCCCUUGACUCUGGGAUAAGCCUGGGAAACUGGGUCUAAUACUGGAUAUGACUUCUCAUCGCAUGGUGGGGGGUGGAAAGAUUUAUUGGUCUUGGAUGGACUCGCGGCCUAUCAGCUUGUUGGUGAGGUAAUGGCUCACCAAGGCGACGACGGGUAGCCGGCCUGAGAGGGUGACCGGCCACACUGGGACUGAGACACGGCCCAGACUCCUACGGGAGGCAGCAGUGGGGAAUAUUGCACAAUGGGCGCAAGCCUGAUGCAGCGACGCCGCGUGAGGGAUGACGGCCUUCGGGUUGUAAACCUCUUUCAGUAGGGAAGAAGCGAGAGUGACGGUACCUGCAGAAGAAGCGCCGGCUAACUACGUG